GGACUACAAGGGUAUCUAAUCCUGUUUGCUCCCCGCACUUUCGCGCCUCAGCGUCAGUCAUCGGCUGGAAAUCCGCCUUCGCCACCGGUGUUCUUCCUGAUAUCUACAGAUUUCACCCCUACACCAGGAAUUCCGAUUCCCCCUCCGUGACUCUAGCCUUGCAGUUUCCAACGCAGUUCAUGGGUUAAGCCCAUGUAUUUCACGUCAGACUUUCACGGCCGCCUACGCGCCCUUUACGCCCAAUAAUUCCGAACAACGCUCGCCCCUUACGUGUUACCGCGGCUGCUGGCAC
rnacentral:rRNA from 1 species